rnacentral:rRNA from 1 species
CCGCCGAAGGUGGGUCAGAUAAUUGGGGUGAAGUCGUAACAAGGUAGCCGUAUCGGAAGGUGCGGCUGGAUCACCUCCUUUCUAAGGAA